ACGUGAAUAUGAUGGGAGUGAUUAAAAACAGUAGAUACAUGACGCAAUGGAAUAUUAUUUUUAUUUUUCUGCCUGAUGUAACAUAUGAAGGCAAGUAUUUCCUUCCUACGAAACAUAGGACAAAUUUAGCUGUUCCUGCAAUGAGUAAUAAUUAAAAAAACUAGUUAUGUUGUCUGCAAGAUGUCUACAUUGGCAAUUUUUUUUGAUCCAAUUAAUAAGAAUCACCUUCACUAGAAUAAUGACCAAAAACGCAGCAGAAGAAGAAUUAAGUUUACCGCCUGAGGGUAUUGUACGGUGUGUAUCUCGGCG